GUAUUCGAUCACACCUCAGUGAAAAUACGCUAACCCGUCCGAUCUAGCAAGUCAAGCACUGGUGGGUUUGCCUAGUACAUGAAUCGGAGAC
rnacentral:rRNA from 1 species